rnacentral:tmRNA from 1 species
GGGGGCGUUCCGGUUUCGACUGGAUGCGCGGAAUGCCGACUGCAUGCCGAGGAUGACCGUUGGCCUCGCUAAUCAUCGGUUAAACCAAUAACUGCGAACGAAGAGUACGCACUGGCUGCUUAAGGCGGCCACGUUCUUUGUCUGACGAACGCUAAGGCAGAGAGCGCAGGGAGCGUUCUGGUGUACGGGAUUUAUCUGACGUCCUGAGCACGAGAUUCAAGAUUGGAGUAGUCGCGAUGCCGCCCGUCCGUCGGCCAAGCGGAGAGACGAGAAAACAGAAUGGCGGGACAAGCAUGUAGAUGUCGUCUGGAAGCCGUCACAGGACGCGGGUUCGAAUCCCGCCGCCUCCACCA